UUACGAUCAUAUCAUAAUGAAACACUGUUUCUCGUACGAUCACCAAAGUUAAGUAACAUCGAGCUUGUUCUAUAACUAUGUGGGUGACCGCGUGGGAAUGUCACGUGCUGUAA